UCCGUCGUAGUGUAGUGGUAAACACGCCAGUCUCCACAUGGCGGCCCUUGGUUGUGGCGCACCUUCGGGAGUGCGUCACGGGUGCCGCAGUGCAACCCAGGUAUGGGCAGCCGGCCCCCAUACCACCCAAGGAUCCCGACCUGGAAUAUGACUGGAGGCCCGAGUUCGAUUCUCGGCGAUGGAA